rnacentral:lncRNA from 1 species
UCUCCCUCCAAAUUUCCACCUAUGUAAUGCUCCAACCUGUGGCCAUUAACCUUGAAGGUACCUUUUGAUUCAUGAGAGAUCUCCACUGCUCUAUAUGGGUAGACUUUAGUAACAGUAUAGAGACAUAUCCAUCUUGAUUUCAGCUUUUCUGAGAACAAAUAUAGCUGUAAACUAUAUAAGAGAACUUACCAUCCCACAUAGAAUUCUCUCAUUACAAUAUUUUUAUCAUACCACUUC